rnacentral:tRNA from 1 species
CCGAUAAUUUACCUUUAUAUUUCAAAUUUACAGUUUGAAAAUUUAAAGUUAUUAUCCAAUUAACA